rnacentral:RNase_P_RNA from 1 species
ACAGGUAUUAAAAUCAAUCGCUGCUUAAGCAAUUAAGGAGAGGAAAGUCCAGGCUCCAUGGAGCAAGAGGGCAGUUAACGGCUGCUAAAGGUAACUUUAAGGAAAGUGACACAGAAAAAAAACCGCCAUAUGGUAAGGGUGAAAAGGUGGUGUAAGAGACCACCAGUUUUUUAGGAGACUAAAAAAGCUUGUCAAACCCCCUCUGGAGCAAGACUAAAAGAGAAAGGAUAAGGGCUGCUCGUCCGUCUUUCGUGGUAAGUCGCUAAAGGUUAUAAGUAAUUAUAACCGUAGAUAAAUGAUUGAUAAAUACAGAACCUGGCUUAUUUGAUGCCUGUUUAU